GGAGGAAGAGGGAGUGAGAUGGGAGGGAAAAAGUGUGAUACACACCCAUGCCAACAAGCCAACAUGCACACCAAAAUCAGCUGCUACAGGUUUUUGUGGUCUGCCUGUACACACUGUGAGGAACUUAAGCUGACUGAAAAUUCAGUAGCAGAAAUUGAUGAGCUGAAGACAUUUUACCUCGUAGGGAGGAAGAGGAGGAUCUGAUGCAGUAAUUUGGGUCCCAAAUCCUCUUUGGGUUGUUAAACCUCCAAAAAGCCUCUCUCCCUAUCAUUGUUUGACGUGGAGGAGCCAACAAGACUGAAGACUGUGUUUCUUCUACUGCUGAGAAUACACAUAUAACAUACCUUGGAAAUCCCCAGCAUGCUGCUGCAUUUGCUAAAUGUAGAUUACAAUAAUUUCAAUAAUUAAACUACAGAAUUAUUAAAUGACUUGA